rnacentral:misc_RNA from 1 species
GUGAAGAACGCAGCGAAAUGCGAUACUUGGUGUGAAUUGCAGAAUCCCGUGAACCAUCGAGUCUUUGAACGCAAGUUGCGCCCGAAGCCAUUAGGCCGAGGGCACGCCUGCCUGGGCGUCACACGUCGUUGCCCCCCCAUCUACUCCUUCGGGAUUGCGGGGGGCGGAUGAUGGCCUCCCGUGCGCCUCGUCGCGCGGUUGGCAUAAAUGCCAAGUCCUCGGCGACGCACGCCACGACAAUCGGUGGUUGCGAAACCUCGGUUGCCCGUCGUGUGCGGUCGUCGCGCAUCGAGGGCUCGAAAAAAUUGCCGGGCUCCGGCUCGGCUUUCAACGCGACCCCAGGUCAGGCGGGGUUACCCGCUGAAUUUAAGCAUAUCAAUAAGCGGAGGA